rnacentral:lncRNA from 1 species
GGGCUCGAGGAACUUGCAAGGUUCACCAUGGACUUUCCAGUCUGGGACAUCCUGCCACUUCUGCGCAAGCGGCGAAAUGUGGUUUGAGAGGAGAUCUCGCAUGCUGAAGCUGAGAACAUCCUCAACUCGGCCUUGUUCGACUACGAGCUG